CCCAGGCCCAAGAGAGCUGAGGCACGUUCUUCUCUGGCCCCUCAUGGCAGCUACAGCUUGAAGGGACUCAAGAUAAUCUGCAACCAACUUCCUCACUAGGGGUCUCUUUUGUUCACUGAACACCCCUUUCUCAAGCAAGGCUGGGUCCCUCAGCAGGCCCUGGUCAGGAGCACCAGGAGAGACCAAGAAGUUGCAAACUUACAAUAAUGCCUACACAUCAAGCCUGUUGGAGACACCUUCACGGAAGAAAGUGCUUCCUACAGUCUAGGCUCAAUUCCCCACUCCUCUCCUGCUCCACCACGGCCCAGGGCUUCCCCCCAGCCUGGCACUUCAUGCCUAGGCCACUCUGAACUCGUAUAGUGCUAAGUAAACAAAAUCCUGCUUGCCCUUACCUUGAGGUCUUUGCAAAUGCUCUUCCAUCUUCCUAGUGCUGUCCCUCAACUCAGCCUGAAUUGGCUCUUCCUUAUAAGGCCAGCCCCAAU
rnacentral:lncRNA from 1 species